rnacentral:rRNA from 1 species
GACGAACGCUGGCGGCGUGCUUAACACAUGCAAGUCGAGCGGUAAGGCCCUUUCGGGGGUACACGAGCGGCGAACGGGUGAGUAACACGUGGGUGACCUGCCCUCAGCUCUGGGAUAAGCCUGGGAGACUGGGUCUAAUACUGGAUAUGACUCCACGGUGCAUGUCGUGGGGUGGAAAGCCUUGUGCGGCUGAGGAUGGGCCCGCGGCCUAUCAGCUUGUUGGUGGGGUGAUGGCCUACCAAGGCGACGACGGGUAGCCGGCCUGAGAGGGCGACCGGCCACACUGGGACUGAGACACGGCCCAGACUCCUACGGGAGGCAGCAGUGGGGAAUCUUGCGCAAUGGGCGAAAGCCUGACGCAGCGACGCCGCGUGAGGGAUGACGGCCU